GGUGGGAUGACGUCAAGUCCUCAUGGCCUUUAUGUCCAGGGCUACACACGUGCUACAAUGGAUGGUACAAAGAGCAGCGAUCUCGCGAGAGGGAGCAAAAUCUCAAAAACCCAUCCUCAGUUCGGAUUGGAGUCUGCAACUCGACUCCAUGAAGUUGGAAUCGCUAGUAAUCGCGGAUCAGCAUGCCGCGGUGAAUACGUUCCCGGGCCUU
rnacentral:rRNA from 1 species